rnacentral:rRNA from 1 species
UACAGAGGUCCCGAGCGUUGUUCGGAUUCAUUGGGCGUAAAGGGUGCGUAGGUGGCGCCAUAAGUCAGGUGUGAAAUCUCGGGGCUCAACCCCGAAACUGCACUUGAUACUGUGGUGCUCGAGUACUGGAGAGGAGAUUGGAAUUUACGGUGUAGCAGUGAAAUUCGUAGAUAUCAAGCGGAACACCGGUGGCGAAGGCGGCCUUCUGGACAGUGACUGACGCUGAGACACGAAAGCGUGGGGAGCAAACAGG